rfam:Agarivorans albus MKT 106 DNA, contig: contig00007.
UCAUCACCACCAUCAUCCAGAAUAAGCUUCAGGCGGUUAUCUGCUGGAAGCUUGUAAGACGCUUCCGGUGGUAGAAUAUAACAAUAUUGCAAACCCCCGGAAGGUAAUCCUCCCGGGGGUUUUUUAGU